rnacentral:rRNA from 1 species
GAUGAACGCUAGCUACAGGCUUAACACAUGCAAGUCGCGGGGCAGCAUGGGGGUUGCUUGCAAUCCCCGAUGGCGACCGGCGCACGGGUGAGUAACGCGUAUCCACCCUGCCCUUCACCACGGGAUAACCCGGCGAAAGUCGGACUAAUACCGUAUGUUGUCCAUUGACGGCAUCCGACUUGGCCGAAACGUUUGGCGGUGAAGGAGGGGGAUGCGUCCGAUUGGCUGGACGGCGGGGUGACGGCCCACCGUGGCGACGAUCGGUAGGGGUUCGGAGAGGAAGGUCCCCCGCACUGGAACUGAGACACGGUCCAGACUCCUACGGGAGGCAGCAGUGAGGAAUAUUGGGCAAUGGGCGUAAGCCUGAACCAGCCAAGUAGCGUGCAGGAUGACGGCCCUAUGGGUUGUAAACUGCUUUUAUGCGGGGAUAAAGUGGCCCACGUGUGGGUUUUUGCAGGUACCGCAUGAAUAAGGACCGGCUAAUUCCGUG